rnacentral:lncRNA from 1 species
GCGGCUUCCAAGCCCAUGCUGAUCAGCAUCACUUGCCUCUGGCCACCCUCCCCUGUGACCGGCAGCACAUGUCGCCCCACGCGGCCCCGGCUUGGGGAGCGUAAGGCAUGUGGGCCUCCAUGCGGCCGCCAGACGAGGGCGGGACCGGGACGCUUCGCCCUGCCUGGGGCUCCUGGUGGCCCCCAGUGACAGGGCGGUGGGCGCUGUGCAUGUAAUCUAAACCCAGAAAGAGAAUCAACAGAUGAG